AGUUUAUAAGAUUGUUCAUGGACUUGCACCUCCCUAUCUGGCUGACCUGGUAAGCCCCUAUGUACCAGCUCGGGCACUGCGUUCUCACGGUGCAGGACUUUUGUGUGUUCCCAGGGUGAAUAAAAAGUCUGCCGGUCACAGAGCUUUCUCCUACCGUGCCCCAGUGUUGUGGAACUGAUCUUCUGCAAUAAAACA